rnacentral:lncRNA from 1 species
AAUUAAUUUAACCUAAAAUUUGAAUUAAAUCUUGUAUUUUCUAUUAAGGUUGGAUUUAUUUUUUUAAGAUCACCUUAUUCGGAUAUGGUUUUUGGCGGGAAGAAUACUAGGCGGAGGCGAUUGACGCGUCGACGCCUCAGUUCCAAUACAGACACAGAGGGGGGAGGUGCUGUCGGUCGUCUCUCUCACUUACCAGAACCUUCCUUUGAUAAUGAUGGAUCCAGUUGUUGUUGUGUUAAAGGCCAGGUUGGUGCACCACUGGUCGUCAGCGUGGAUACGUACUGUACCUCCUUAUUUAUUGAGGAUGAUGACUUGAAGAUGGAGGAAAUGAUGACCACAAGAGUUCUUCUGGUGACCUGAUUCAUGAUGCACCAGACACACAAGUCAGGUUAGGUUCUGGAUCUUGGCAAGGAGAGGUGUGCACUCUGCUGUACCACACAUCUUGCCUCACUUGUACUGCUGUACCAGGCUUCUCUUCUCCAAUAUCAGGAUGGCAAGUGAUUCACAAAACAACUAAAGGAAGCAGGUGAUACAGCCCAGACCCAGCCAUCCACCCCUCCUCUCUACCUCAGUAAUGUUGUUCUGAACACUGGAGUGCAGUGCUGCCCUAGACUGUGCUUACUGGCUACUGCCUUGGACUUCCCUGUACUUGCUUGCUGGCUGCUACCCUGGACGGCUCGGCUCUGUGCUUGCUGCUACCCUGGACGGC